rnacentral:rRNA from 1 species
AGAGUUUGAUCCUGGCUCAGGACGAACGCUGGCGGUGUGCUUCACACAUGCAAGUCGAACGAGGUAGCAAUACCUAGUGGCGGACGGGUGAGUAACGCGUGGGAGUCUGCCUUUAGAUGGGGGAUAACGAGCCGAAAGGUUCGCUAAUACCGCAUAUGCCGCAAGGUGAAAGGAGUAAUCCGUCUAAAGAUGAGCCCGCGUCCGAUUAGCUAGUUGGUGGGGUAAAGGCCUACCAAGGCGACGAUCGGUAGCUGGUCUGAGAGGAUGAUCAGCCACAAUGGGACUGAGACACGGCCCAUACUCCUACGGGAGGCAGCAGUGGGGAAUUUUACGCAAUGGGGGAAACCCUGACGUAGCGACACCGCGUGAGCGAAGAAGCCCCUUGGGGUGUAAAGCUCUGUCAGCUGGAACGAAACAAAUGACGGUACCAGCAGAGGAAGCAUCGGCUAACUACGUGCCAGCAGCCGCGGUAAGACGUAGGAUGCGAGCGUUGUCCGGAUUUAUUGGGCGUAAAGAGUUCGUAGGUGGUUUGUUAAGUUUGAUGUUAAAGAUCGGGGCUCAACCUCGGGACAGCAUUGAAUACUGGCAGACUUGAGUAUGGUAGAGGCUAGUGGAAUUCCCAGUGUAGCGGUGAAAUGCGUAGA